rfam:Anolis carolinensis chromosome 6, whole genome shotgun sequence.
GGAUGUGAGGGCGAUCUGGCUGCGACAUCUGUCACCCCAUUGAUCGCCAGGGUUGAUUCGGCUGAUCUGGAUGGCUAGGCGGGUGUCCCCUUCCUCCCUCACCGCUCCAUGUGCGUCCCUCCCGAAGCUGCGCGCUCAGUGGAAGAGGACGACGUCCCAGGUAUAGAAGGAGUGUACCGAGGUCUCCAGUCUUCGGUUCCGGGUAUACGAUAGCUGCGCUCCCCUGCUAGAACCUCCAAUAGGUUGCAUGGUGGACACAACUCUACCCCUCAAAUACUCUCUGUCUCUCCUUUCUACCAUAUCUGUUGCAGGCAGGGCUGUGGAG